AUGGAAAAUAAAAUUCAGAGUCAUAUAAUCUACAAUAGAUAUCUGAAAGGUUAAAUACAAGAUUAGCAAUUUUGAGAAUAGAAAGAAUUUAUAAACUUCGAUUAUGCUCCAGAAGGCCUGUGCUCAACACCCCUGAAGACGGGCUGGAGAGGUGGCUCAGAGGUUAAGAGCACUGGAUGCUCUUUCAGAAGACAUAAAUUCAAUUCCCAGCAACCACAUGGCAGCUCACAAGUACCUCUACUUCCAAUUCCAGGGAAUCUGAUGCCCCCUUCUGGCCUUCCUUGACACUGCAUUUUUAUAUGGUGCACAGAUAUACAAUAAAAGAGAUUUUUCAAGGCUGUCUGAAUAAAGAGAAGAAAGCAAGAAGAAACGGAAGGGAUGGGCCAGAGAAAGGGAUCUUGGGAGAAGACAAAUCCCAUAGCCUUGGCAUCUCUGACCUAGAGGCCAAGGGGAACUCUGUGACGUAACUGCAGUGAUCAGUCAGCCUCCUCCCUUGUUUGUGACUUGGAACUGAGAACUCACUCUUAAUCACUACAAGGCGGCAAAAGUGAAGGGUCACUUGUGAAACUGGGUUACAAAAAAUAACCCGGUGGCUUCCAGUCUACACAUUCCUGCUUGCUAAAUUGCGACAAGAGAAGAAUGCAAUCACCAAGCUGUGAACUAUCCUGUGGGACAAGGGACAGGAGGCUAGUCCAAAUCACACAGCCGAUGAAAACCUAAUGCCCUCAGUGCAACAGCCCAUAGAGAAUCAAAUGCCACCAAGUCCCGCCUGAGACACUCCGAAGCACAUCCUCCGCCAAGCAGAUCCUUGAAGGCUUCGAUCUCAAGGAAGAGAAGCCAAGGAAAGCAAGCCCUGGAUUUUUGACUCACAGUGAUGCUGAGGUGGCCAGUUUCCUGUCGAAGUGACAGAGAAGAGGAAUAGCAUUGUGCAGCAGUAGCACAGUUGACGAGAUGGUUAAGCUGCCAGCUGUGGGCCCUGUCUGUUGCAAGGAGUUAAGAUUUGC